rnacentral:sRNA from 1 species
UGGCUUUAGAUGACUGGCCAACUUUAUUUUAUUUUAUGUUGACUGGAAAAAGCAUAGUUGCCUUUCUUAACUACAAAGCCGACCAAGUCGAGGUCUCGUCAAUUUAGUCAAAUAUGGGAGACAUCAUAUUCUCCCCCGACGGAUCGUUUCCCUGCGUUAUUCAAAGAACCCCGAGUUUGAGUGAGGAGGCUGCGAAGGAUAGGUAAUUCUUGUAAGGCUAGUAACUAUCGAUUGUGCAAGUAAAUAUGAAAUCUGUAUUCCCUUCCGAUUGCGAAUCCAGAAAUUUGAGAGCAGAUAGACCGGGCCGACCGCCAAAUUUCCUUCUUUGGAUUCUUGCGAUAAUGGCCCUGUGAACGGGUCUGUAUUCUAAGCCUCAGCAAUGCUCAACUUACAGUGGAAUAUGUUGUGGCCAAUUGACGUCUGCAUCAUCCGGCAAGCUCUUUUCCCAGCUUCCGAAUAGAGUUGUGGUCUGUUAGCAGCAAGUUUAUUGCAACUUGAUACACCACCACAGGCGUUGUGGCUUCAAGUUUUUAUUAUAGAAUAGCAGUACCA